GUAAGGGUGAAAAGGCAGGGUAAGAGCCUACCGCGUAUUUAGCAAUAAAUAUGGCCGGCAAGCCCCGUCAGGAGCAAGAUCACGCAGAAAAUUAUUGUAGAUUUUCUACAAUGAGAGUUGUUCGCUCUUUAUAUUUUCGGGUAGAUCGCAUAAGUUCGUUAGUAAUAUCGAAUUGAGAUAAAUAAUUGCCGCCGCCUUGUUUUUUCAUUUAUGAAGUAAAUCAUUUGGCGGUUACAGAAUCCGGCUUAUUACAUGUCUUUGCUU
rnacentral:RNase_P_RNA from 1 species